UACGAGGGGGGCGAGCGUUGUUCGGAAUUAUUGGGCGUAAAGGGUGCGUAGGCGGUUUGGUAAGUCUGAUGUGAAAUCUAUGGGCUCAACUCAUAGUCUGCAUCGGAAACUGCCGGGCUUGAGUAUGGGAGAGGUGAGUGGAAUUCCUGGUGUAGCGGUGGAAUGCGCAGAUAUCAGGAGGAACACCGGUGGCGAAGGCGGGUCUCUGGGCAGUAACUGACGCUGAGGAGCGAAAGCGUGGGGAGCGAACAGG
rnacentral:rRNA from 1 species